AUUGAACGCUGGCGGCAGGCCUAACACAUGCAAGUCGAACGAGUGGCGGACGGGUGAGUAAUGUCUGGGAAACUGCCUGAUGGAGGGGGAUAACUACUGGAAACUGUAUCUAAUACCGCAUACCAUCAGAUGUGCCCAGAUGGGAUUAGCUAGUGGGUGGGGUAAGGGCUCACCAAGGCGACGAUCCCUAGCUGGUCUGAGAGGAAGACCAGCAACACUGGAACUGAGAAACGGUCCAGAAUCCUACGGGAGGAAGCAGUGGGGAAUAUUGCACAAUGGGCGCAAGCCUGAUGCAGCCAUGCCGCGUGUAUGAAGAAGGCCUUAGGGUGGUAAAGUACUUUCAGCGGGGAGGCGUUACCCGCAGAAGAAGCACCGGCUAACUCCGUGCCAGCAGCCGCGGUAAUUC
rnacentral:rRNA from 1 species